UGGGGAAUAUUGCGCAAUGGGCGAAAGCCUGACGCAGCGACGCCGCGUGAGGGAUGAAGGUUUUCGGAUCGUAAACCUCUGUCAGAAGGGAAGAAACUACGUUGUGCUAAUCAGCAGCGUACUGACGGUACCUUCAAAGGAAGCACCGGCUAACUCCGUGCCAGCAGCCGCGGUAAUACGGAGGGUGCAAGCGUUAAUCGGAAUUACUGGGCGUAAAGCGCACGUAGGCUGUAGUGUAAGUCAGGGGUGAAAUCCCACGGCUCAACCGUGGAACUGCCUUUGAUACUGCACAACUUGAAUCCGGGAGAGGGUGGCGGAAUUCCAGGUGUAGGAGUGAAAUCCGUAGAUAUCUGGAGGAACAUCAGUGGCGAAGGCGGCCACCUGGACCGGUAUUGACGCUGAGGUGCGAAAGCGUGGGGAGCAAACA
rnacentral:rRNA from 2 species